rnacentral:rRNA from 1 species
GACCAGCCACACUGGAACUGAGACACGGUCCAGACUCCUACGGGAGGCAGCAGUGAGGAAUAUUGGUCAAUGGGCGGAAGCCUGAACCAGCCAAGUAGCGUGCAGGACGACGGCCCUACGGGUUGUAAACUGCUUUUAUGCGGGGAUAAAGUUGCCCACGCGUGGGUUUUUGCAGGUACCGCAUGAAUAAGGACCGGCUAAUUCCGUGCCAGCAGCCGCGGUAAUACGGAAGGUCCGGGCGUUAUCCGGAUUUAUUGGGUUUAAAGGGAGCGCAGGCCGCCGUGCAAGCGUGCCGUGAAAAGCAGCGGCCCAACCGCUGCCCUGCGGCGCGAACUGCGUGGCUUGAGUGCGCCGGAAGCGGGCGGAAUUCGUGGUGUAGCGGUGAAAUGCUUAGAUAUCACGAAGAACCCCGAUUGCGAAGGCAGCCCGCUGUGGCGCCACUGACGCUGAGGCUCGAAGGUGCGGGUAUCGAACAGGAUUAGAUACCCUGGUAGUCCGCACGGUAAACGAUGGAUACCCGCUGUCCGGCCCGUACGGUCUGGGCGGCCAAGCGAAAGCGUUAAGUAUCCCACCUGGGGAGUACGCCGGCAACGGUGAAACUCAAAGGAAUUGACGGGGGCCCGCACAAGCGGAGGAACAUGUGGUUUAAUUCGAUGAUACGCGAGGAACCUUACCCGGGCUUGAAUUGCAGGAGAAUGAUUCAGAGAUGAUGAAGUCCCUCGGGACUCCUGUGAAGGUGCUGCAUGGUUGUCGUCAGCUCGUGCCGUGAGGUGUCGGCUCAAGUGCCAUAACGAGCGCAACCCCUCUCCGCAGUUGCCAUCGGGUGAUGCCGGGCACUCUGCGGACACUGCCGCCGCAAGGUGCGAGGAAGGUGGGGAUGACGUCAAAUCAGCACGGCCCUUACGUCCGGGGCCACACACGUGUUACAAUGGCCGGUACAGAGGGCUGUCCGCAUGCAAGUGCGGGUGAAUCCCGAAAUCCGGUCCCAGUUCGGACUGGGGUCUGCAACCCGACCCCACGAAGCUGGAUUCGCUAGUAAUCGCGCAUCAGCCAUGGCGCGGUGAAUACGUUCCCGGGCCUUGUACACACCGCCCGUCAAGCCAUGAAAGCCGGGGGUGCCUGAAGUCCGUGACCGCGAGGGUCGGCCUAGGGCAAAACCGGUGAUUGGGGCUAAGUCGUAACAAGGUAGCCGUACCGGAAGGUGCGGCUG